rfam:Flavobacterium fryxellicola strain DSM 16209 FBFR17, whole genome shotgun sequence.
UUUUAGCCCUGAUGGAAGCGGCAUCCUUUUCUUGACUUUUUCAGUCCAGAAAAGAUAUAGCGUACAGCAGGAAUCAGC